rnacentral:rRNA from 1 species
ACCAACUCCCUGAGUGGUGGGGAUGAUUAUUGGGCUUAAAGCGUCCGUAGCUGGCCUGGUUAGUCCCGCGUUAAAUUCAGCGACCUAAUCGUUGGGAUGCGGGGGAUACGGUCAGGCUGGGGGGCGGGAGAGGUUAGCGGUACUCCAGGGGUAGGGGUGAAAUCCAAUAAUCCCUGGCGGACCACCAGUGGCGAAGGCUGCUAACCAGAACGCGCUCGACGGUGAGGGACGAAAGCUGGGGGGAGCGAACCGGAUUAGAUACCCGGGUAGUCCCAGCUGUAAACGAUGCGGGCUAGCUGUUGGGGUGGCUACGAGCCACUUCAGUGGCGCAGGGAAACCAUUAAGCCCGCCGCCUGGGAAGUACGAUCGCAAGAUUGAACUUAAAGGAAUUGGCGGGGGAGCACCACAAGGCGUGAAGCUUGCGGUUU